rnacentral:lncRNA from 1 species
GCAGAGAGCAAGACAAAAUCUGUAGCACCUCUCCUUACCAAGCUAGCAUCGAGAGAAAACAGAGAGAGUGAGAAAAGAGAGCGAAACUGAGGAAGUGAGAGCAGGGGCUUGGUUGGUUUCUUCACCAAUUAACCCAGGCACAAGAAGAAAUAUCGCAAGGAAAGUAAGGGAGGCUGGAGCUAACACUCGAGGGAACAAAAGUUGGGAAGAGAAACUGAUUACGUCUGCAAUUCCUAACACUUAAGGCCAGAGGUAAGUUUUUGUGAAUAAUGCUUAUGUACUGAAUAGAACUGAGCAUAUGUUAAGCUGUAACAUGUCAUAAAGCCUCUUAACUUCAUCAAGCAAGACCAAAAUGAGUAUAAACUAAGGUGAACAUAACAAGACAAGUGCAUUCGGCUGAUUGCAGGUUGGUUGGUCGAGGGAAUUAAGCAGGAUAUGUAACCUGUUGUUGCUAAUUCUGAA